rnacentral:rRNA from 1 species
UUAUCGGUACGGGUUGUGGGAGCAAGAUCCCGGAGAUGGAUUCUGAGACAUGAAUCCAGGCCCUACGGGGCGCAGCAGGCGCGCAAACUUUACAAUGCGAGCAAUCGUGAUAAGGAAACCCUGAGUGUCUGUCGAUGCAGGCUGUUCAUAUAUCUAAACCGUAUGUGAAGAAAGGGCAGGGCAAGACCGGUGCCAGCCGCCGCGGUAAUACCGGCUGCUCGAGCGAUGGCCACUAUUAUUGGGUUUAAAGCGUCCGUAGCUUGAUUUUUAGGUCUCUUGGGAAAUCUUUUGGCUUAACCACAAGGCGUCUAAGAGAUACCGGGAAUCUUGGAACUGGGAGAGGUAAGCCGUACUUCGGGGGUAGGAGUGAAAUCUUGUAAUCCUCGAGGGACGACCUAUGGCGAAGGCAGCUUACCAGAACAGCUUUGACAGUGAGGGACGAAAGCUGGGGGAGCAAACGGGAUUAGAUACCCCGGUAGUCCCAGCCGUAAACAAUGUGCGUUAGGUGUGUCAGUUACCACGCGUAACUGAUGCGCCGAAGAGAAAUCGUGAAACGCACCACCUGGGAAGUACGGUCGCAA